AGGUUGCACUGAAAACUUUAGUUGGAGCAGACAUCAGUGUGAAGUGUGAAGAGAGACUUUAUUAGUAAUAUACGGGCUCAGAGACUGUUGUGUUGUGUAUUAGGCUAAAGUUCUUUUUAUGUCCCGCAACUAAGUUAUUUUAGAUGUUAUCGUUUUAAAUGUUUUAUGAGUUUCUAGACUCUUGUACGGUUAAUUUAAAAGGACUAAUGUCGCUAACGGGACAGAGUGAAGGUGCAGAAUCUUCGAUUCACUUUGUCACUUUUAACCAGGAUUGCACGUCACUGUCAGUUGGCACAAAAACCGGCUUCCGAAUAUAUUCAUUGAACUCUAUAGACACACUUGACACACUGUAUGAAGAUGAUACUGAAGAUACAUGCAUAGUGGAGAGGCUCUUCAGCUCUAGUCUCGUUGCUGUGGUUUCAUUGAGCUCUCCAAGAAAGUUGAAGGUCUGUCACUUCAAGCGUGGCACAGAAAUCUGUAACUACAGUUACAGUAACACCAUCCUUUCUGUCAGGCUGAACAGAAUUCGGCUGGUGGUAUGCCUGGAAGAGGCACUGUACAUACACAACAUCAGAGACAUGAAGGUGCUGCAUACAAUACGUGACACACCACCCAACCCCAGAGGACUGUGUGCGUUAUCAACAAACAGUGAAAACUGUUAUCUCAUGUACCCUGGGAGUUCAACAAUAGGGGAAGUUCAGAUAUUUGACUGCACUCAUUUGCGUGCGAAGAUAAUGAUACCUGCUCAUAAUUCGCCUUUACAAGCUCUCACAUUCAAUUCAUCUGGAACUCGGAUAGCCACUGCCAGCGAGAAAGGGACUGUGAUCAGGGUUUUCAGUGUGGCUGAUGGAACUAAGCUACACGAGUUCCGACGUGGGCUAAGACGCUGUGUCAGGAUAGCUAACCUGCAUUUUACAGCAAAUUCACAAUACCUAACAGCCUCCAGCAACACGGAAACUGUACACAUCUUUCGUCUGGAGGAACCCGUGGCUGCCCCAGUCGAAGAAUCGACAGGAUGGCUAGGCUACCUUUCUGCAGCAGCCAACAUUUCUGCUAAGUACCUGCCCUCACAUAUCACAGAGGUCUUCAACCAAAACAGAUCACACCUCGAUAUACACCUGCCAGUCCCAGGGUAUAAGACGGCAUGUGCUGUUACAAUAAUCCAGAGGGCAAUGCGGCUGUUGGUGGCAUCUACAGAUGGGUUUCUCUAUAUCUAUAAUUUAGAUCCAUCAGAAGGUGGAGAAACAUCUUUGGUGAAGCAGUACAGGUUGGAUGGCAAGACUGAUCUGUCAGAAGUGGUUGGUCUGGCUCAAGCGGAUGGUUCUAAUGCAACCUCCUCGCCUAAACCAAUUGACAAAACUGAUUCUGCCCAAGUCGUUGUAUGAAGUGUAUACAAAAUCAAGGUGGACAUUUUGAACUGCUAUAACAUUGUAUGGUAAUAUAAUCGGAGAAACGCCAAGAAUUACGACUAGCUAGUGCCUCUCCACCGCGGGAUGGAUUUCCCCUGACAGACGAUGCAGAGUUCCCACCAAUGAGUCCCGGAACCCUGUGAUGCUCUGUUCUUGUACAGAAUGUAUGGAGAGGAUUUUAUUCACACACCCUGGCCCGUUCUUCGAUUUGUAAUUCAUACCUAAUCUGUGAAUCGUAUUUUAUUUAUUAAGUCUCUCUUGUUUUGUUGACCUUAUAAGUUUUACUUCAAAUUAAAUCAAAAUUAUUUGUA
rnacentral:misc_RNA from 1 species